GUCUGCGUGACGUGAGAGUGACUGUGGGUGAGAGCGUUCCAGCAAGACAAUGAUGAUCUCUGCUGUCUGAUUCCCACUUCCCAGAUUCUCACAGUAGACGAGGAGCCUGUUUUUCAGCUAGCUGCUGCAAGGAGCUGGACAUUUCUCCCUUCAAAUAGGACCUGGAAGGCCUGGAAGCAUCUGGAGAAGGGCAUGGCUGUGAGUAGAGAAACAGAGGAUACAGGCUAAAGCAGGAGGAAGCGAGAGGACUCACGGAAAGCCUUGCUGCACUCUCCAAAAGAGCUGCCCUUUUCACGUGAAGAGCUAUGUGAUCGGAUCCCCGGUUUGGCAGAGUAGACAUGCGAGAAGACUGAACGUUUCAUCGUUGAAACCUCUUAAAGGUGGAAUGUGUGGCAGAAAGAACGUCUGAGAAGCUCACGCGAUUUGCAGAAGGAACAUUUGUAGAAGAUUCCCUGUUUUCCGAAGGAAUGUCAAGUUCCAAAGGACACAUAUUGCUUGUCUCUGAACUUCUCAGCUGCCUGCAGAUCUUCCUGUUUUUCAGCUGCAGUUAGGGUUUGUCUGAGGAGAAGCAUAACAUCCCUCCAGGCUUACCCUGGUUGCUCAGUGAAGAAUAAAGUACAGGGAACAUGAGAGAAUACAUGGGAGAUCAAUCAAGAUGCUACUUCAGUAAUCCAUGACAAUGACAACGUAAAGUAAUGCAAGGUGCACGUGAUGGGUAUGGCCAAAUGCUCCACAAAUAAAUGUGUUGAAUGAAUGAACAAAUGAAUAAGCGAAGUGAAUGGAACAUCAAACUGCAUAAAAAUAUAUUUAUUCAUAAAUGAGAGGUGAUGAUUGCCAACAUAUCAUAAUCAGACUCUGACCUUGGUUACUUAUGAGUUUGACAACGAAGAGGAAAGAGGAUCAGGUAAGUCCCUAAACACCGAAGAUGUACUGAGACCUUUCCACAUGCCCAAAGAAGAUACUCUUGCAGAGGAGAAAUGAUGAAGAGGCCCAGUCACAGAUGCAGGAGGAAGUUUAAUUGACUGAAUUUGUCUAGGAUGGGAGGGAUUAAAUGAGGUUUGAAAUGAAAUAGAAAUUGCUAAACUCCUGACUAGACAAUUACUGCCAUCCAUCUCUUACAUGUGCCCCUAAAUAAGCACUAACAGUGCCUUGGGCAGAGACCCCAGUGACUACCUAAUAGUAGCCUUCAA
rnacentral:lncRNA from 10 species